ACAACUGAGAGAAGGGCUUGAACCUUCGGUAAUAGAUCCUAAAUCUAUUGCAUUACCGCUUUGCUACCCCAG
rnacentral:tRNA from 1 species